GACGAACGCUGGCGGCGUGCUUAACACAUGCAAGUCGAACGGAAAGGCCCUGCUUUUGUGGGGUGCUCGAGUGGCGAACGGGUGAGUAACACGUGAGUAACCUGCCCUUGACUUUGGGAUAACUUCAGGAAGCUGGGGCUAAUACCGGAUAGGAGCUCCUGCUGCAUGGUGGGGGUUGGAAAGUUUCGGCGGUUGGGGCUGGACUCGCGGCUUAUCAGCUUGUUGGUGGGGUAGUGGCUUACCAAGGCUUUGACGGGUAGCCGGCCUGAGAGGGUGACCGGCCACAUUGGGACUGAGAUACGGCCCAGACUCCUACGGGAGGCAGCAGUGGGGAAUAUUGCACAAUGGGCGGAAGCCUGAUGCAGCAACGCCGCGUGCGGGAUGACGGCCUUCGGGUUGUAAACCGCUUUCGCCUGUGACGAAGCGUGAGUGACGGUAAUGGGUAAAGAAGCACCGGCUAACUACGUG
rnacentral:rRNA from 1 species